rnacentral:rRNA from 1 species
UACGAAGGGUGCAAACGUUGCUCGGAAUCAUUGGGCGUAAAGCGCGCGUAGGCGGUUACUUAAGUCGGAUGUGAAAGCCCUCGGCUUAACUGAGGAAGUGCACCCGAAACUGAGUAGCUAGAGUACGAAAGAGGGUCGCGGAAUUCCCGGUGUAGAGGUGAAAUUCGUAGAUAUCGGGAGGAACACCGGUGGCGAAGGCGGCGACCUGGGUCGAGACUGACGCUGAGGCGCGAAAGCGUGGGGAGCAAACAGG